rnacentral:lncRNA from 1 species
CCACAAUUGCUCAUGACUCAGCAGGAACAUGCUCACUGAGCUAGGACAGCAGGAGCUAUGACCCUGGACUCUGGAUCCUCCCCUCUCUCCUGAUACUAUCAUGUAGGUGUAUGUGAUGCCAUGGGAAUAAUGGGGUGGCUGAGAGCAAGAGCGGGUGGGGAGAAGGAAGUAAGCAGGGCCUUGAAGAACACCUCUCGGGGGCGCCUGGGUGGCGCAGUCGGUUAAGCGUCCAACUUCAGCCAGGUCACCAUCUCGCGGUCCGUGAGUUCGAGCCCAGCGUCAGGCUCUGGGCUGAUGGCUCAGAGCCUGGAGCCUGUUUCCGAUUCUGUGUCUCCCUCUCUCUCUCUGCCCCUCCCCCGUUCAUGCUCUGUCUCUCUCUGUCCCAAAAAUAAAUAAACAUUGAAAAAAAAAAAUUAAAAAAAAAAAAAAAAAAAGAACACCUCUCGGAGGCCAGGCAGGGGAGAAACAGCCAGCCUGGGAGCUGGAAAAAGUGACUAGAGAGGCAGAUGGAAAAAUCAGGAGAACUUGGUGACUGAGAAGACAUGAGAUUGCUCCAGGGUGGAGGGAGAAGGCAGCAGUACCCAAUACUAGCGGGAGAGUGUUCUCCUAAGGUUUGGGCUGAAAUGCACCCAGGGGACUUGGCAACACAAAGCGCAUCAGUGACUUCUGCCAACUGUCGAGGAUCAGGUAGCUCCACUGUUUAAAGCCCUCAAAGCUUCCCAGCGCCCUCCAAAUAAAGCAGCCUCUGCUCCAGCAUUGCCUCUCACUAGUUUCACGUGUUUGCGCCCAGCUGCUCCCACGGACACAGGCCACGUGCUCUCUCAUCCCUGCAGUUCCCUCGGCCUGCAACCCUUUCCUCCUCUCAAACUCCCCUAUGUCCUUCCCCACUCGUUCUAGUAUCAUCUCAGCCAGAAAGCCUUCCCUGACCCCCAGGUUGGGCUGCGUGGGCCUCUUUUUUUUUUUUCCCAUCCCAUCACAUGCUGGGAUGAGUAAGGCAUAUUUCCUCUUUGUCUGCUUCUGGCCGGACGUGCAGCGCUAUGUUUCUGAGCAAGCUGGAAAGGAAGCCUUGGUGAUGGAAGCGGGGGCGCAUCCAGCUUCUCCCCUGACCAGGUUUCUACAUUCCUCCUGGGACUCAAACAUCACCUCCACAUGAAGACUCUCUUGGAGUCUAAAGUCUAGGAUCGUCCAGAUGGUCACACUCUCCAAGCAUAGCACUACAUUUUGUAGAAUUGCUCAAAGAAGGAAAGAAAAGCUAAGUAUGUUUUCUUCAAGGUCCCAGCUUUUAUACUGUGUGGUGGGUUCGGGGUUCUUAUUUCAAUGUUUCAUUAAAAGUAUGUCAAUGUAGGCAUAGAUCAAUGAUGAGUCAGUAACUAAUGAUUAUGACUUAUGUGAUUCUGUGCACCUAAGGGCUGUUAAAAGGCUAAUGAAAAAGAAAGCUUAAAUAAAUAGAAAUGAAAAACUUUACA